rnacentral:rRNA from 1 species
GAUGAACGCUGGCGGCGUGCCUAAUACAUGCAAGUAGAACGCUGAAGCUUGGUGCUUGCACCGAGCGGAUGAGUUGCGAACGGGUGAGUAACGCGUAGGUAACCUGCCUCUUAGCGGGGGAUAACUAUUGGAAACGAUAGCUAAUACCGCAUAAAAGACGAUAUCGCAUGAUAUUGAUUUGAAAGGUGCAAUUGCAUCACUAAGAGAUGGACCUGCGUUGUAUUAGCUAGUUGGUGAGGUAACGGCUCACCAAGGCGACGAUACAUAGCCGACCUGAGAGGGUGAUCGGCCACACUGGGACUGAGACACGGCCCAGACUCCUACGGGAGGCAGCAGUAGGGAAUCUUCGGCAAUGGGGGCAACCCUGACCGAGCAACGCCGCGUGAGUGAAGAAGGUUUUCGGAUCGUAAAGCUCUGUUGUAAGAGAAGAACGAGUGUGAGAGUGGAAAGUUCACACUGUGACGGUAACUUACCAGAAAG